rnacentral:rRNA from 1 species
GACGUAGGGGGCCAGCGUUGUUCGGAAUUACUGGGUGUAAAGGGUUCGUAGGCGGUGUGGCAAGUUGGGAGUGAAAUCUCUGGGCUCAACCCAGAGGCUGCUUCCAAAACUGCUGUGCUUGAGUGUGGGAGAGGCGCGUGGAAUUGCAGGUGUAGCGGUGAAAUGCGUAGAUAUCUGGAGGAACACCGGUGGCGAAGGCGGCGUUCUGGACUGCAACUGACACUGAGGAACGAAAGCCAGGGGAGCAAACGGG